GCUGGGCAUGGUGGGACGUGCCUGUAGUCCCAGCUUCUCUGGAUGCUUAGGCAGGAGGAUCACUUGAGCCCAGGAGAUCAAGGCCAGCCUGGGCAACACAUCAAGAGCCAUCUCAAA
rnacentral:sRNA from 1 species